ACAGGGGGCCUACUCGGUAACGCGAAAAUCGAAAUAACGUUCAACGUUCGGGCCAUUUUCGCACUCUGUAGGGAGAGUUUUACGCACGAACGAACGAAACAACGAAGUUUCGAUUUUCUAUACAAAAUGGUACUCUGAACUGCAAUGUCAAACACGUAAUAUUGAGUUUGACAGCUCAUUUACUGUCAGUUUUACUUCAAAUUUCACGUCUACACAAGAGGUAACGUUGAGAUAUUCGUUUUGCUGUAAUUGCUGAAAAUAACAUAAAGAAUGGCUAGGUAUUUGCUGAUGCAAGAAAUUCUUCGGGACGAGAGAAGGAAAAGGCGAGAGGCCCUAAGAAGAAACUUCCGCUUGCACACAAUUCCCGACUCUGAAUUCGUAAAUAACUACCGGCUGAGUUCCAAACGCUGUGUGAAGAGAUUGUCCCGUUUCUUCCUCCAAGGAUACGACACCGGGGUAUUGAUCCCAUAAUGAAGAUUUUGGUAGUAUUAAACUUCUAUGCAAGGGGUAGUUACCAAGGUGCCGUAGGCCUCAACAGCGAUGUGACUCUGAUUGCCUUAUAUUGAGUAUUGAUGCAUCAUACACAUCAUCAUACAUUGGGCAUAUGGGCCCAACAUGAGAUAAAAGCUCACAUGGAAGAACUCUCAAUACAGGGAUAGACUACAUACCUACUGGGUGACUCAGGGUAUCCUCUCCGGUCAUUCAUGAUGACUCCAGUGGACCAUGCAGUAGACGACUCACCUGAAGGGCGCUACAAUAUAAUUCAGAAACGUGCCCGUUCCACUGUAGAGCGCACAUUUGGAAUACUAAAAGGGAGAUGGAGAUGCUUAUUAGCCGCCAGAGAAUUAAAUUACACUCCUGAGACCGCUGGCAAAAUUGCAAUUGCAUGCAGUGUAUUGCACAACAUGUGCAUACAUGCUCGGCUCGACCAUCCUGAAUUAACAGAGGAGGACCUCGCAGCUGAGAACGCCCUGCCCAUUCCCCAGCAAGCUGCAAUUCCACAAGGACGGGCAUUGGAGGAAGGAAGAAGAGUACGCAGAGUACUAAUACAUUUAUUAGAGGCAUAAUAUGCCCCCGGCUUUGUAUGGAUAUACUUAUAUAAGACAAAACAAUCCUUAUUGUGAGGUUGUAGAAGAGAUUACUUUUAGUAAUACGGCCACUGAUUGUACUAUUUCUUUUCUAUGUUUGUGAAACUGUUUCUGUUUGUGUGCAAUAAAGAGUAUUUUAUCUUUACCUACCUAUAUUUUUUUAAUUUUCAUUGUUUCUGGUAUGAAUGUGUUUCUAUUAUAUCCAUAAAAAUAUGGUUUUACCGAUCCUAAGAUACUUACUUUGUGUGGAUACAUCUAUUCAUGCUAACACACUUAUUUAUAAAGAAUAAAACAAUUUUUCUAAAUGAGAGAUUUUUAUUUUUUGGUUUCAGUCAAAUAUUGCUACUUAUUGCUUAAACACUGAUAAAAUGCACUGUUUUCGCGCAGCCCCCCAAAGCAUUCAGCUUUUGGGCGAUUUCCUGCCACAGGCGAUUGCUUCGCACUCUCCCAUCUACGCUCCUCAUACGACCGCGCGCGAGGUCUUGGUGCUCAAAUAAGAACUCCAAGAGCUCUUGAGUCGUUGGAUCUCUUCUGCGCCCGUUAGGGCGCAGGCUUCGGGUCUUGAGGAGUCCCUCUUUACCCGGGCUUCUGCUCCAGGGCCUACUAGCUCCUGGGUCCGUGGGGCCGCCUGUUCAGUCAGGCGGCGUCUGGUUGGUGUUCAACGUCUCAGUGAGCCGCCGCAUCGACUGGUUGCCGACGACAGCAGCUCACGAGGGAAAAGAGCUCUUGAAUCUGCUCCGUGCUGCAGUUCCCAGACCCAGCCAUGGUAGAAAGAAAUUAACUUUGGCGCGUUCAACUUCAACUUAACUUUAUUUUGUGUUUGAUUUUUUUAUGAGCCUCUUUGACAGAAAAUCACAGACUACCAUAGUGAAAAAAGUAGAGUAAAAAUAUUUUGAUUUUAUCAAAAAUUUGUAAUUUAAACGUCUCUGCGUGAAAAAUCAUUUAAAUAAAUCAGUUUAAUGUACAUAAAAACAAACAGCGCAUUUUAAUUUUACGUAAAAAUGAUAAUAUGCAAUGUUUUAAUAAAACCGGUAAUUUACCGAUAAGCCACUUGAAAGCCCAACCAAUACAUUCAUUCAUUACACAAUUUCGUUCAUUCACGUAGUACCUCUAUGAUUUGUCUAUGAUUUUCGAAGAACGUAGCGCGGCCGAAGUUGGUACAGAGUACCGAUAUGCCGUCAUUAACGUACGGUUUUCGAUUUUCGUAUUUAACGACGGAACGUGUUAGAGAGUAGCC